rnacentral:rRNA from 1 species
UACGUAGGAUCCAAGCGUUGUCCGGAUUUACUGGGUGUAAAGGGUGCGCAGGCGGACUUGUUAGUCAGAGGUGAAAUCUCACUGCUCAACAGUGAAACUGCCUUUGAUACUGCAGGUCUUGAAUCCAGAAGAGAGUUGUGGAAUUCCGAGUGUAGCAGUGAAAUGUGUAGAUAUUCGGAAGAACACCAGCGGCGAAGGCAGCAACUUGGUCUGGUAUUGACGCUCAGGCACGAAAGCAUGGGGAUCAAACAGGAUUAGAAACCCCCGUAGUCC